AGCUUCGCGCAGUGGCGAUAUCGUAACCAAUGAGGUUAUACCGAGGUGCGAUUAUUGCUAAUUGAAAAAAAAAAUCAUUUUUAAUAAUAAAUUCCUUGUAGAAAACAUGAUAUAAGUUUUCUACAAGGAAUUUAGAACAGUUUUAUU